UACGUAGGGUGCAAGCGUUAAUCGGAAUUACUGGGCGUAAAGCGUGCGCAGGCGGCUUUGCAAGACAGAUGUGAAAUCCCCGGGCUUAACCUGGGAACUGCAUUUGAGACUGCACGGCUAGAGUGUGUCAGAGGGGGGUAGAAUUCCACGUGUAGCAGUGAAAUGCGUAGAUAUGUGGAGGAAUACCGAUGGCGAAGGCAGCCCCCUGGGAUAACACUGACGCUCAUGCACGAAAGCGUGGGGAGCAAACAGG
rnacentral:rRNA from 1 species